rnacentral:rRNA from 1 species
UACGUAGGGUGCGAGCGUUGUCCGGAAUUACUGGGCGUAAAGAGCUCGUAGGUGGUUUGUCGCGUUGUCCGUGAAAACUCACAGCUCAACUGUGGGCGUGCGGGCGAUACGGGCAGACUGGAGUACUGCAGGGGAGACUGGAAUUCCUGGUGUAGCGGUGAAAUGCGCAGAUAUCAGGAAGAGCACCAAUGGCGAAAGCAGCUCUCUGGGACGGUACUGACGCUGAGACGCGAAAGCGUGGGGAGCGAACAGG